rnacentral:rRNA from 1 species
CAAAAACAUGUCUCUUUGUGAAAUAUAGAUAAAGAGUCGGGCCUGCUCGGUGAAUAAGUUUUUAACAGCUGCGGUAUUUUAACUGUACUAAGGUAGCAUAAUAAUUUGCCUUAUAAUUUGAGGCUAGAAUGAAUGGUUUGACGAAGGUUAAUCUGUCUCCACUUUAUUUUUUAGAAUUUAAUUUUUAAAGUGAAAAAGCUUAAAUUUUUUAAAGGGACGAGAAGACCCUAAUGAGCUUAUAAUUUUAUUAUUAUUGUUCAAAACAUUUGGUCAAUAACAUAUAAAUUUUAAUUGGGGUGAUUGAGGAAUAAAUUAGAUAAAGUAACUUCCUUAAACUAAAUAUUUAUAGAUAAAGUAACCAAUAUAAUAUUGCUUAUAAUAUAGUUACCAUAGGGAUAACAGCGUAAUUUGUUUAGAGAGUUCUUAUUGAAAAACGAGAUUGCGACCUCGAUGUUGGAUUAAAGUAACCUUAAGGUGCAGAAGCUUUAGUAAGGUAAAUCUGUUCGA